CCUUGUAAUCUUCGCAGAUCAAAAUCAUGAUGUUGCUGCAGUCAGAGAAAACCCAGAGUAACAAGUUUCCCUGACAGUUGCUGUUGUGUUUGUUGUAUUUAUCUGCAACAUUUUGGGGAAAGACAGUU
rnacentral:snoRNA from 1 species